rnacentral:rRNA from 1 species
AUGGCCGCCCUUCUCCUCCCAGUCUCCUCCCGCCUCCCCAAGAGCACGGCCAUCGCCUCCGCCUCCGCUCCCCGCCCCACACCGCGCUUCCUCUCCUUCCCCCUCACAACCGCCAAGGCUUGCCGCCGCCGCAGGGGAUGUAUCCUCGCCUCCUCUGCCCCGGCCGCGGCCGAGGCCCAGCCUUUCCGCUCCCUGGCCCCCUCCGAGACCACCGUCCUCGUCACCGGCGCCACGGGCUACAUCGGCCGCUUCGUCGUCCGCGAGCUGCUCCGCCGCGGCCACCGCGUCGUCGCCGUCGCCCGGCCCCGCAGCGGCGUCCGCGGCAAGAACUCCCCUGAGGAGGUUGUCUCCGACCUCGCCCCCGCCCGCGUCGUCUUCUCCGACGUCACCGACCCGGGCGCCCUCCUCGCAGACCUCUCGGGGUCGGGACACGGCCCCGUGCACGCCGCGGUCUGCUGCCUCGCCAGCCGCGGCGGCGGGGUGCAGGACUCGUGGCGCGUCGACUACCGCGCCACACUCCACACCCUCCAGGCCGCGCGCAGCCUCGGCGCCGCCCACUUCGUCCUCCUCUCCGCCGUCUGCGUCCAGAAGCCGCUCCUCGAGUUCCAGCGCGCCAAGCUCAAGUUCGAGGGCGAGCUCGCCGCCGAGGCGGCCCGGGACCCGGCCUUCACCUACAGCGUCGUCCGCCCCACCGCCUUCUUCAAGAGCCUCGGCGGCCAGGUCGAGGCCGUCAAGAAGGGCAACCCCUACGUCAUGUUUGGCGACGGCAAGCUCUGCGCCUGCAAGCCCAUCAGCGAGGAGGAUCUCGCCUCCUUCAUCGCGGACUGCAUCUCCGACCAGGAGAAGGCUAACAAGGUUCUUCCAAUUGGAGGGCCGGGGAAGGCCCUCACGCCGCUGGAGCAAGGGGAGAUGCUGUUCCGGCUGCUCGGGCGCGAACCCAGGUUCCUCAGGGUGCCCAUUCAGAUCAUGGAUGGUGCCAUCUGGGUGCUCGACGGACUGGCCAAGGUGUUCCCGGGGCUGGAGGAUGCCGCCGAGUUCGGCAAAAUUGGGAGGUACUAUGCGUCGGAGAGCAUGCUAGUGCUGGAUCCCGAGACCGGGGAGUACAGCGACGACAAGACGCCGAGCUAUGGCAAAGACACGCUCGAGCACUUCUUCGAGAAAGUGAUAAGGGAAGGAAUGGCGGGGCAGGAGCUAGGCGAACAGACCAUCUUCUAG